AUUGAACGCUGGCGGCAGGCCUAACACAUGCAAGUCGAGCGAGCGGCGGACGGGGGAGUAAUAGCAAGGAAUUUGCCUGGUAGUGGGGGAUAACGUUCGGAAACGGUAGCUAAUACAGCAUACCAUCAGACGUGCACAGAUGGGAUUAGCUAGUAGGUGGGGUAACGGCUCACCUAGGCGACGGUCCCUAGCUGGUCUGAGAGGAUGACCAGCCACACGGGAACUGAGACACGGUCCAGACUCCUACGGGAGGCAGCAGUGGGGAAUAUUGCACAAUGGGCGCAAGCCUGAUGCAGCCAUGCCGCGUGUGUGAAGAAGGCCUUCGGGUUGUAAAGCACUUUCAGCGGGGAGGCGUUACCCGCAGAAGAAGCACCGGCUAACUCCGUGCCAGCAGCCGCGGUAAUUC
rnacentral:rRNA from 1 species